rnacentral:rRNA from 1 species
UACGGAGGAUGCAAGCGUUAUCCGGAAUGAUUGGGCGUAAAGGGUCCGCAGGUGGCAAUGUGUGUCUGCUGUCAAAGAAUGAGGCUUAACCUCAUCAAGGCAGUGGAACUACAUAGCUAGAGUACGGUCGGGGUAGAAGGAAUUCCUGGUGUGAGCGGUGAAAUGCGUAGAUAUCGUGAGGAACACCAGAGGCGAAGGCGGCUACCUGGACAAUUGCUGACGCUCAGGCACGAAAGCGUGGGGAGCAAAAGGGAGU